GAUGAACGCUGGCGGCGUGCCUAAUACAUGCAAGUCGAGCGAACAGACGAGGAGCUUGCUCCUCUGACGUUAGCGGCGGACGGGUGAGUCACACGUGGAUAACCUACCUAUAAGACUGGGAUAACUUCGGGACACCGGAGCUAAUACCGGAUAAUAUAUUGAACCGCGUGGUUCAAUGGUGAAAGACGGUUUUGCUGUCACUUAUCGAUGGAUCCGCGCCGCAUUAGCUAGUUGGUAAGGUAACGGCUUACCAAGGCGACGAUGCGUAGCCGACCGGAGAGGGUGAUCGGCCACACGGGAACUGAGACACGGUCCAGACUCCUACGGGAGGCAGCAGUAGGGAAUCUUCCGCAAUGGGCGAAAGCAUGACGGAGCAACGCCGCGUGAGUGAUGAAGGUCUUCGGAUCGUAAAACUCUGUUAUUAGGGAAGAACAAAUGUGUAAGUAACUAUGCACGUCUUGACGGUACCUAAUCAGAAAGCCACGGCUAACUACGUG
rnacentral:rRNA from 1 species